GGGGCUGUGGCGCAGUGGGAGCGCGAUUCCUUCGCACGGAAUAGGCCAGGGGUUCGAAUCCCCUCAGCUCCACCA
rnacentral:tRNA from 1 species